rnacentral:rRNA from 1 species
AGUGAACGCUGGCGGUAGGCCUAACACAUGCAAGUCGAACGGCAGCACAGUAAGAGCUUGCUCUUACGGGUGGCGAGUGGCGGACGGGUGAGGAAUACAUCGGAAUCUACUUUUUCGUGGGGGAUAACGUAGGGAAACUUACGCUAAUACCGCAUACGACCUACGGGUGAAAGCAGGGGAUCUUCGGACCUUGCGCGAUUGAAUGAGCCGAUGUCGGAUUAGCUAGUUGGCGGGGUAAAGGCCCACCAAGGCGACGAUCCGUAGCUGGUCUGAGAGGAUGAGGAGCCACAGUGGAGCUGAGGCACGGUCCAGGCUUCUACGUGAAGCAGCAGAGGAGAAUAUUAGACAAUGGGCACAAGGCUGAUACAGCCAUUCCGAGUGAGUGAAGAGGGCCUUCGGGUUGUAAGGCACUUAUAUUGGAAAAGAAAAGCAGCAGGUUAAUAAACCGCUGUUCUGACGGUACCCAAAGAAUAAGCACCAGCUGACUUCGUG